UUGAUCUCUAGAGCAUGUGUGUCUAGUAAAGAACAGAGCAGCCCUCCAAAAAAGGCUGUGUAAUAUAUCAUAUUAGGCCAACUUCAGCUUGUGAAAGAAGAUGCAGAAUCCCACCAGUCCUGCUUUGUACUCUGUGGAUGUUGUGACAGGUGGGAAGGAAGCUUGCAGUGAGUCCUGAUAGCCUGCAAAUGAUGGAACACAUCAAAUGUUUAUUCUGAGAACUGUUUGAUCCAGUUUCGGGGUUGGUUGAAGAGCUGAUAAAAUCCUUGUUGGGCCUUCUUAACAGGUCAUCACUCAACCUGAUCAUGUGACCAUCUUAUUUAGAAAAUCUAAUGCUUCCUGUUCCAGAAAGCUUAGCCCUUGAG